CGCGUGCUUACACAUGCAAGUCGAGCGGAAAGGCCCUUCGGGGUACUCGAGCGGCGAACGGGUGAGUAACACGUGAGCAACCUGCCCCAGGCUUUGGGAUAACCCCGGGAAACCGGGGCUAAUACCGAAUAUGACCUCCGAUCGCAUGGUUGGUGGUGGAAAGUUUUUCGGCUUGGGAUGGGCUCGCGGCCUAUCAGCUUGUUGGUGGGGUGAUGGCCUACCAAGGCGACGACGGGUAGCCGGCCUGAGAGGGCGACCGGCCACACUGGGACUGAGACACGGCCCAGACUCCUACGGGAGGCAGCAGUGGGGAAUAUUGCACAAUGGGCGGAAGCCUGAUGCAGCGACGCCGCGUGAGGGAUGACGGCCUUCGGGUUGUAAACCUCUUUCAGCAGGGACGAAGCGUAAGUGACGGUACCUGCAGAAGAAGCGCCGGCCAACUACGUGCCAGCAGCCGCGGUAAGACGUAGGGCGCGAGCGUUGUCCGGAUUUAUUGGGCGUAAAGAGCUCGUAGGCGGCUUGUCGCGUCGACUGUGAAAACCCGCAGCUCAACUGCGGGCCUGCAGUCGAUACGGGCAGGCUAGAGUUCGGUAGGGGAGACUGGAAUUCCUGGUGUAGCGGUGAAAUGCGCAGAUAUCAGGAGGAACACCGGUGGCGAAGGCGGGUCUCUGGGCCGAUACUGACGCUGAGGAGCGAAAGCGUGGGGAGCGAACAGGAUUAGAUACCCUGGUAGUCCACGCUGUAAACGUUGGGCGCUAGGUGUGGGGGGCCUCUCCGGUUCCCUGUGCCGCAGCUAACGCAUUAAGCGCCCCGCCUGGGGAGUACGGCCGCAAGGCUAAAACUCAAAGGAAUUGACGGGGGC
rnacentral:rRNA from 1 species